CUACGGGAGGCAGCAGUGGGGAAUUUUGGACAAUGGGGGCAACCCUGAUCCAGCCAUGCCGCGUGCGGGAAGAAGGCCUUCGGGUUGUAAACCGCUUUUGUCAGGGAAGAAACGCGCUGAGCUAAUACCUCGGCGUAAUGACGGUACCUGAAGAAUAAGCACCGGCUAACUACGUGCCAGCAGCCGCGGUAAUACGUAGGGUGCAAGCGUUAAUCGGAAUUACUGGGCGUAAAGCGUGCGCAGGCGGCUUUGCAAGACAGAUGUGAAAUCCCCGGGCUCAACCUGGGAACUGCAUUUGUGACUGCAUGGCUAGAGUGCGGCAGAGGGGGAUGGAAUUCCGCGUGUAGCAGUGAAAUGCGUAGAUAUGCGGAGGAACACCGAUGGCGAAGGCAAUCCCCUGGGCCUGCACUGACGCUCAUGCACGAAAGCGUGGGGAGCAAACAGGAUUAGAUACCCUGGUAGUCC
rnacentral:rRNA from 1 species